rnacentral:rRNA from 1 species
UACAGAGGGUGCAAGCGUUGUUCGGAAUUAUUGGGCGUAAAGGGUGCGUAGGCGGUGCGGUAAGUCUGUAGUGAAAUCUCUGGGCUCAACUCAGAGUCUGCUAUAGAAACUGCCGUGCUUGAGUGUGGGAGAGGUGAGUGGAAUUCCCGGUGUAGCGGUGAAAUGCGUAGAUAUCGGAAGGAACACCUGUGGCGAAAGCGGCUCACUGGACCACAACUGACGCUGAGGCACGAAAGCUAGGGGAGCAAACAGG